ensembl:lncRNA
UGGUUGGUUCAUACUGAUGGUUGGUUCAUACGGAUGGUUGGUUCAUACGGAUGGUUGGUUCAUACGGAUGGUUGGUUCAUACGGAUGGUUAAUACUGAUGGUUUGUUAAUACUGAUGGUUGGUUCAUACUGAUGGUUGGUUCAUACAGAUGGUUGGUUAAUAGGGAUGGUUGGUUCACACGGAUGGUUGGUUCAUAAUUAUGGUAGGUUCAUACGGAUGGUUGGUUCAUACGGAUGGAUGGUUCAUACGGGUGGUUGGUUCAUACGGAUGGAUGGUUCAUACGGAUGGUUGGUUCAUACGGAUGGUUGGUUAAUACUGAUGGUUGGUUCAUACAGAUGGUUGGUUAAUAGGGAUGGUUGGUUAAAAGGGAUGGUUGGUUCAUACGGAUGGUUGGUUCAUACGGAUGGUUGGUUCAUACUGAUGGUUGGUUCAUACAGAUGGGUGGUACAUACGGAUGGUUGGUUCAUACGGAUGGUUCAUACUGAUGGUUGGUUCAUACUGAUGGUUGGUUCAUACUGAUGGUUGGUUCAUACGGA